AUGCAAGUCGAACGCGAAAACCCCGCAAGGGGUUAGUAGAGUGGCGAACGGGUGAGUAACACGUGGGUGACCUACCUUCGAAUGGGGGAUAACGUCCCGAAAGGGACGCUAAUACCGCAUAACAUCCUGCUUUUGAACAAGUGGAGAUCAAAGCCGGGGAUCGCAAGACCUGGCGUUUGAAGAGGGGCCCGCGUCUGAUUAGCUAGUUGGUGAGGUAACGGCUCACCAAGGCGACGAUCAGUAUCCGGCCUGAGAGGGCGGACGGACACACUGGGACUGAGACACGGCCCAGACUCCUACGGGAGGCAGCAGUGGGGAAUUGUUCGCAAUGGGCGCAAGCCUGACGACGCAACGCCGCGUGGAGGAUGAAGGUCUUCGGAUUGUAAACUCCUGUUGCCCGGGACGAAACGCUUCGACCUAACACGUCGGAGUUUGACGGUACCGGGUGAGGAAGCCCCGGCUAACUCUGUGCCAGCAGCCGCGGUAAUACAGAGGGGGCAAGCGUUGUUCGGAAUUACUGGGCGUAAAGGGCGCGUAGGCGGCCUUCUAAGUCGAACGUGAAAUCCCCGGGCUCAACCCGGGAACUGCGUCCGAUACUGGAAGGCUUGAAUCCGGGAGAGGGAUGCGGAAUUCCAGGUGUAGCGGUGAAAUGCGUAGAUAUCUGGAGGAACACCGGUGGCGAAGGCGGCAUCCUGGACCGGCAUUGACGCUGAGGCGCGAAAGCCAGGGGAGCAAACGGGAUUAGAUACCCCGGUAGUCCUGGCCCUAAACGAUGAAUGCUUGGUGUGGCGGGUAUCGAUCCCUGCCGUGCCGAAGCUAACGCAUUAAGCAUUCCGCC
rnacentral:rRNA from 1 species